AUGAUUAAUAUUUUAAAAUUUAAUUUAUUUUAAGAAAAGGGUGAGCUUCAAAUACCAUUCAUGUAGUUUUGCACUUUCUUAUUUUAAUACCCUGUGCUUUAAAGUACAUCAAGUUAGUGUCAUGCGGUUUCAUUUUUAUUUUUUCGUCAGUUUUUUCGUUAAUAUUUCGUUAAAUUAUAUACAAAACAUUUCAGAUACCCUAUCUAGAUUUAUCGAAUAUUCACUUUAGUAACCUUUAGUUUUAACUUUACCACUGAUUUAACGAAAAAAAUUAGUGGAAUCGAUAUGAAAAAAUAAAAAUAAAACUACGGAGUACUAAAUUAAUACACUUUAAAUCGUAGAGUUCUAAAGUGAGAAAGUGUGAAACCACAGAGGUGGUAUUUGAAGUUUUUCCUUAAAAAAAAUGUAAUCUAUAAACAGCUAAAGAAUUUAUAUAUAUG
rnacentral:lncRNA from 1 species